GUCUCUCUUUCCUUUUCUUUCAGUUAUUUGUGGUGUGGUGGUGGAGCCAGGGCCUAGGCAUGUCAGUCACAUGAUCUGCCAGUGGUCUACACCCCCAGCCCAAGGCUGAUUUCUUGAGGCCUCCUCUCUCCUUGACUUUAAAAUAAGCAGUUUCCUCCGGUCUUCUCUGACUCAGAGUCAAAUCAGCCUUCCUUAGGCUGGGGGCAUAGAUCAGUCUGCAGACUGCCCACCCGCUGCCCAUCCGCUGCUCUCGAGGUUCUGGGUUCCAUCCCCAGCACCGAAGGAACUGGGCAUGAUGGCACAUGCUUGUCAUCUCGGCCCUGGGGAAGUAGAGGCAGGAGGAUCGAGUUCAAAAUCAUCCUCAGCUCCAUGGUGAGUUUGAGGUCAGCCUGGAUUCCACGAGAGCCAGAGAGGGAAGAGAGGGAGUUAGGGAGGGAGAGAGGAGACAGGGAGACAGAAGGACCCUGUUAUGUUGGCUAAGACCCACACAGCAACUGCAUAUUACAGAGGAAGCUACCAGGGUCUCCUCUCUGCAGUCACCUCCUGAGGGACUGGAUUAGGGCUUCAGUCUUGGAGUUUAGGCUUCCUGUUUGUGUACAUCCAGAGCAGCUCAGGCCUAGAGAAGAGGGUGCCUGUCCACGUGGGUCCCAGGGCAGAGCCAUUGCAGGGCCAACGACAGCCUCUGGACCCUCUCUCCAGUCUGCAGCCGCACUCCACCACAGGUACAGGUGUGUACGGCACCCGGUAGCCUUUCCACUGUGGAAGCGGACACACCUACUCUUUCUUGGUCAGGCAGCUUCAACCACCUUCCCCAACCACAUCCUAAGUGGGAAAAACUACUCCGGAUGGACACUCCAAUAAAGUUUUAUAGUUUGUAUACUUU
rnacentral:lncRNA from 1 species